rnacentral:rRNA from 1 species
UUAAGUAGACCGCCUGGGGAGUACGGCCGCAAGGUUAAAACUCAAAUGAAUUGACGGGGGCCCGCACAAGCGGUGGAGCAUGUGGUUUAAUUCGAUGCAACGCGAAGAACCUUACCUGGUCUUGACAUCCACAGAAGUUUGCAGAGAUGCGAAUGUGCCUUCGGGAACUGUGAGACAGGUGCUGCAUGGCUGUCGUCAGCUCGUGUUGUGAAAUGUUGGGUUAAGUCCCGCAACGAGCGCAACCCUUAUCCUUUGUUGCCAGCGAUUAGG